UUCUAAUAGAUUUUAUUAUUAGUAAAAUCUGCUCAAUGAAAUUUCAAUAGCCGCAUUUAGUGCUAAGGUAGCGUAAUCAUUUGUCUUUUAAUUGAAGACUAGAAUGAAUGAUUUAACAUUUUAAUAAUUUUUUUUUAUUUUAAUCAUCAAUUUAUUUUAAAUAUAAAAAAAUAUUUAUAAAAAAGAAAGACAAUAAGACCCCUUCGAACUUAACUAUAGUUCAACUGGGGCAGUUGAUUAAUUAAAAUUUUAAUUUACUUAUUUUAAUUAAAUUACCAAGUAAAAUUUAAAUAUAUCAAGUUACCGUGGGGAUAACAGCACAAUAAAUUUUUAAAGAUCUUAUAUACAAAUUAAUUUGUGACCUCGAUGUUGAAUAUUUAACUAAUAUUCGCAAUAGAAUAUAAAGAAAGUCUGUUCGACUUUUAAUUUUUUACA
rnacentral:rRNA from 1 species